AUGAACGCUGGCGGCGUGCCUAAUACAUGCAAGUCGAGCGAACAGACGAGGAGCUUACUCCUCUGACGUUAGCGGCGGGCGGGUGAGUAACACGUGGAUAACCUACCUAUAAGACUGGGAUAACUUCGGGAAACCGGAGCUAAUACCGGAUAACAUGUUGAACCGCAUGGUUCAACAGUGAAAGACGGUCUUGCUGUCACUUAUAGAUGGAUCCGCGUCGCAUUAGCUAGUUGGUAAGGUAACGGCUUACCAAGGCAACGAUGCGUAGCCGACCUGAGAGGGUGAUCGGCCACACUGGAACUGAGACACGGUCCAGACUCCUACGGGAGGCAGCAGUAGGGAAUCUUCCGCAAUGGGCGAAAGCCUGACGGAGCAACGCCGCGUGAGUGAAGAAGGUCUUCGGAUCGUAAAACUCUGUUAUUAGGGAAGAACAAAUGUGUAAGUAACUAUGCACGUCUUGACGGUACCUAAUCAGAAAGCCACGGCUAACUACGUG
rnacentral:rRNA from 1 species